rnacentral:misc_RNA from 1 species
GUGAAUCAUCGAAUUUUUGAACGCAAAUUGCGCCUUUUUCGGAAGGCAUGUCUGUUUGAGGGCACCAUUUAACAAAUACUGUGCAGCGUUUUUCAAUGAACACGUUGAUGAGCUUUCCAAGAUUUUUACAUUUUUUGUGGCGCAUAAUGAACAGCGCGAAAGUUUUUUUCAGUUCGAGUGUAGUAAAAUCUUUGCUUGGGUUGUGAAAAAACAUAAUCUCCCA